rnacentral:lncRNA from 1 species
AUGAUUACACGCCAAAAGAAAAGUCAGAGUUCAAUUAAAAAAAAAAAAAAGAAUUUGGAAGGGAAGAUGGAAAACAAAAGCACUCCCCACUUCCUGCCCACGUGUUAUCACACGGUAAUAUUGCACAGCAGCGCGGUACCGCCUCGCCCCGAGUCCGAGAGGUCUGACUGCAUCGUUAGCCAGUGGCAGCGUUGCUCGUUGGAGGGAGGGCUCGCCUGGAAGUGGGGGGGCUCGAUGCUUCCCAGGCUGACGUUAGUGUCUCUGCAAGGACGCUCUGCCAGGGUGCGACGGGUCACAACCAAACGGAUUGCUCCCCAGUGGGCCGGACUCCAGUCAGAUUGUCAGAAAAUAUGAUGCUGGCAUGCUAAUUGCGUGAGACAACUCGGCCCACAGACAGCCACAAAGCACAAAAACAAAACAAACUCAGAGAAGACAUGAGAAUGGUGUUUUCCUGGCGUCUACAAGAAGCGCUUUAUUUUUUCCUCUAGAUUGCUUUUCUAAAAAAAAAAAAAAACAAAAACAAAAAAACAAAACACGAAACUGAAACAAACAGUUAAAGGAACAAGACAAAGUUCAGGUGAUCAUAUUCAAGCAUGUUCUUUUAUUAAGCGUAGGAUGGAAGGGACGAGAGGAUGCGGAAGCAGGAUGCUGAACAGAUACGCGGGGGCCGUGCACCUCUGUGACGGGGUCCUUCCUGAAACUGCGGGAAGGAUGAAGGGAACGGCUUUUUAUCCCCCAGCCCCCAAACACCUGGGGCAUCCUUAGGGGUGCCAGGCCCCCUUUCCCGCCCGGCGCGGUGUUCAGGGGGUGGCCUGUGAGGUCUGCUUGCUGUGAGCUGAAGAAUCCUUUGCGCUGCUCCGGCAGUGAACCAGUGCCCUGCGACACACUCCCUGCCCGCACCACCUGUUUCUCAGCGUCCCCUCCGCCUCGGUGGGAACAAGGGCCAGAGGGGGCC